rnacentral:rRNA from 1 species
GACGGAGGGUGCAAGCGUUGUUCGGAAUCACUGGGCGUAAAGGGCGUGUAGGCGGUCCGCUAAGUCUGAUGUGAAAGCCCGGGGCUCACCCCCGGAAGGGCAUUGGAAACUGGCGGACUCGAGUCUCGGAGAGGAAGGUGGAAUUCCUGGUGUAGCGGUGAAAUGCGUAGAUAUCAGGAGGAAUACCGGUGGCGAAGGCGGCCUUCUGGACGAUGACUGACGCUGAGACGCGAAAGCGUGGGGAGCAAACAGG